rnacentral:antisense_RNA from 1 species
GAGAUUCCUGUGCCAAUAUCAUACUGUUCUAGAAUUAUUGGAUCUCUUAUGCUAGGGCUGCUGGUCAAACCUGAGUUCCUGAAACCUUUAACCCUACUCAGCCAAUACAACCGAUAACAUUCCUGAAGAGACAGAGUCUUGUUCUGUUGCACAUGCUGGCGUACAGUGCCACAAUCACAGCUCACCGCAGCUUCCAACUUCUGGACUCACGUGAUCCUUCUGCCUCAGACUUCCAAGUACCUGGGACUACAGGCACGAAUCACCACAGCCAGCUUGGAGUGACUUUCUAAGGGAUUCCAUCCAAGUUACCACAUUAUAUAUGCUAAUCUCGUGUUCUUUGGCUUCUCUUGUUUGUGACAGUUUCUCAGACUUCUGUUUUGCUUUGUUCUUAAUAACCUUGACAGUUUUGAGGAGUAGUGAUAAGAAAGUUACUAUGCACAGACCACUCUUAGGGAGUGAGGAAUUAUGUUCCCCCUCCUUGAGAAUGGAGUACUUACAUAAAUUACCUGGGAUUCUUCUGCAUGGGAGGGUCUUGCUCAGGCUGGAGUACACUGGUGCAAUCAUGGCUCCCUGCAGCCUCAACCUCCUGGACUCAAGCAAUCCUCCCACCUCAGCCUCCCAAGUAGCUGGGACUACAGGUGCAUGCUAUUACACCCAGCUAAUUUUUUAAAUUUUUUGUAGAGACAAGGUCUCACUAUGUUUCCCAGGCUGGUCUUGAACGCCUGGGCUCAAACAAUUCUCCUACCUUGGUUUCCCAAAGUGCUGGCAUGAGCCACUGUGCCCAGACUCAUUAUUUAUUAAACUAUUUUGUG